rnacentral:rRNA from 1 species
GACGAACGCUGGCGGCGUGCUUAACACAUGCAAGUCGAACGCUGAAGCUUGGUGCCUGCACUGGGUGGAUGAGUGGCGAACGGGUGAGUAAUACGUGAGUAACCUGCCCUUGACUCUGGGAUAAGCCUGGGAAACUGGGUCUAAUACUGGAUACGACAUGUCACCGCAUGGUGGUGUGUGGAAAGGGUUUUACUGGUUUUGGAUGGGCUCACGGCCUAUCAGCUUGUUGGUGGGGUAAUGGCUCACCAAGGCGACGACGGGUAGCCGGCCUGAGAGGGUGACCGGCCACACUGGGACUGAGACACGGCCCAGACUCCUACGGGAGGCAGCAGUGGGGAAUAUUGCACAAUGGGCGGAAGCCUGAUGCAGCGACGCCGCGUGAGGGAUGACGGCCUUCGGGUUGUAAACCUCUUUCAGCACGGAAGAAGCGAAAGUGACGGUACGUGCAGAAGAAGCGCCGGCUAACUACGUG